AUGGUUUUAGGAGAUUUCAAUGAAAUUUUGUAUUCAUCGGAAAAGGAGGGUGGCAAUGUAAGACCAAACGUAAUGGUGAAGGACUUCCAUGAUUGUCUCACUUAAUGUGGUUUGGAAGACAUAGGAUUUAUUGGCGGCCCCUUCACCUGGAGAAGAGGUGAGAUUAGAGAACGCCUUGAUCGUGUAGUCUGUAAUGUAGAAUGGGCGCAUAAAUUUCCUUGGGUGGCGGUUAUUAACAAAGAACACAUACACUUUGACAGUCGCCCGUUGGUCUUGGAUAUGGAUUUUUUAUGGCAAUUUGUUUAA
rnacentral:rRNA from 1 species